rnacentral:rRNA from 1 species
AGAGUUUGAUCCUGGCUCAGGAUGAACGCUGACAGAAUGCUUAACACAUGCAAGUCAACUUGAAUUUGGGUUUUUAACUUAGAUUUGGGUGGCGGACGGGUGAGUAACGCGUAAAGAACUUGCCUCACAGCUAGGGACAACAUUUAGAAAUGAAUGCUAAUACCUGAUAUUAUGAUUUUAAGGCAUCUUAGAAUUAUGAAAGCUAUAAGCACUGUGAGAGAGCUUUGCGUCCCAUUAGCUAGUUGGAGAGGUAACAGCUCACCAAGGCGAUGAUGGGUAGCCGGCCUGAGAGGGUGAACGGCCACAAGGGGACUGAGACACGGCCCUUACUCCUACGGGAGGCAGCAGUGGGGAAUAUUGGACAAUGGACCGAGAGUCUGAUCCAGCAAUUCUGUGUGCACGAUGAAGUUUUUCGGAAUGUAAAGUGCUUUCAGUUGGGAAGAAAAAAAUGACGGUACCAACAGAAGAAGUGACGGCUAAAUACGUGCCAGCAGCCGCGGUAAUACGUAUGUCACGAGCGUUAUCCGGAUUUAUUGGGCGUAAAGCGCGUCUAGGUGGUUAUGUAAGUCUGAUGUGAAAAUGCAGGGCUCAACUCUGUAUUGCGUUGGAAACUGUAUAACUAGAGUACUGGAGAGGUAAGUGGAACUACAAGUGUAGAGGUGAAAUUCGUAGAUAUUUGUAGGAAUGCCGAUGGGGAAGCCAGCUUACUGGACAGAUACUGACGCUAAAGCGCGAAAGCGUGGGUAGCAAACAGGAUUAGAUACCCUGGUAGUCCACGCUGUAAACGAUGAUUACUAGGUGUUGGGGGUCGAACCUCAGCGCCCAAGCAAACGCGAUAAGUAAUCCGCCUGGGGAGUACGUACGCAAGUAUGAAACUCAAAGGAAUUGACGGGGACCCGCACAAGCGGUGGAGCAUGU